AACGUAGGAGACAAACGUUAUCCGGAGUUACUGGGCGUAAAGGGCGUGCAGGUGGUCUGUUAAGUCUGGCGUGAAAGCUCCUGGCUAAACCGGGAGAGGUCGUUGGAUACUGGCGGACUAGAGGACGGUAGAGGCGUGUGGAAUUCCGGGUGUAGUGGUGAAAUGCGUAGAUAUCUGGAGGAACACCGGUGGCGAAGGCGGCAUCCUGGACCGGCAUUGACGCUGAGGCGCGAAAGCGUGGGGAGCGAACAGG
rnacentral:rRNA from 1 species